AGAGUUUGAUCAUGGCUCAGGAUGAACGCUAGCUACAGGCUUAACACAUGCAAGUCGAGGGGCAGCAUGUUGGUUGCUUGCAACCAAUGAUGGCGACCGGCGCACGGGUGAGUAACGCGUAUCCAACCUACCCUUGUCCAUCGGAUAACCCGUCGAAAGGCGGCCUAACACGAUAUGCGGUUCUCAGCAGGCAUCUAACGAGAACGAAAUGUGAAGGAGAAGGAUGGGGAUGCGUCUGAUUAGCUUGGUUGGCGGGGUAACGCCCACCAAGGCGACGAUCGAGUAGGGGUUCUGAGAGGAAGGUCCCCCANAUUGGAACUGAGACACGGUCCAAACUCCUAGGGAGCA
rnacentral:rRNA from 1 species